AGACCCGAAACCCGGUGAUCUAGCCAUGGGCAGGUUGAAGGUUGGGUAACACUAACUGGAGGACCGAACCGACUAAUGUUGAAAAAUUAGCGGAUGACCUGUGGCUGGGGGUGAAAGGCCAAUCAAACCGGGAGAUAGCUGGUUCUCCCCGAAAGCUAUUUAGGUAGCGCCUCGUGAAUUCAUCUCCGGGGGUAGAGCACUGUUUCGGCUAGGGGGCCAUCCCGGCUUACCAACCCGAUGCAAACUGCGAAUACCGGAGAAUGUUAUCACGGGAGACACACGGCGGGUGCUAACGUCCGUCGUGAAGAGGGAAACAACCCAGACCGCCAGCUAAGGUCCCAAAGUCAUGGUUAAGUGGGAAACGAUGUGGGAAGGCCCAGACAGCCAGGAUGUUGGCUUAGAAGCAGCCAUCAUUUAAAGAAAGCGUAAUAGCUCACUGGUCGAGUCGGCCUGCGCGGAAGAUGUAACGGGGCUAAACCAUGCACCGAAGCUGCGGCAGCGACACUCAGGUGUUGUUGGGUAGGGGAGCGUUCUGUAAGCCUGUGAAGGUGGCCUGUGAGGGUUGCUGGAGGUAUCAGAAGUGCGAAUGCUGACAUAAGUAACGAUAAAGCGGGUGAAAAGCCCGCUCGCCGGAAGACCAAGGGUUCCUGUCCAACGUUAAUCGGGGCAGGGUGAGUCGACCCCUAAGGCGAGGCCGAAAGGCGUAGUCGAUGGGAAACGGGUUAAUAUUCCCGUACUUGGUGUUACUGCGAAGGGGGGACGGAGAAGGCUAUGUUGGCCGGGCGACGGUUGUCCCGGUUUAAGCGUGUAGGUGUGUGUUCCAGGUAAAUCCGGUUCACUUUAACACUGAGGCGUGAUGACGAGGCACUACGGUGCUGAAGCAACAAAUGCCCUGCUUCCAGGAAAAGCCUCUAAGCAUCAGGUAACAUCAAAUCGUACCCCAAACCGACACAGGUGGUCAGGUAGAGAAUACCAAGGCGCUUGAGAGAACUCGGGUGAAGGAACUAGGCAAAAUGGUGCCGUAACUUCGGGAGAAGGCACGCUGACACGUAGGUGAAGUGAUUUACUCAUGGAGCUGAAGUCAGUCGAAGAUACCAGCUGGCUGCAACUGUUUAUUAAAAACACAGCACUGUGCAAACACGAAAGUG
rnacentral:rRNA from 1 species